rnacentral:rRNA from 1 species
GUCCACGCCCUAAACGAUGUCUACUAGUUGUCGGGUCUUAAUUGACUUGGUAACGCAGCUAACGCGUGAAGUAGACCGCCUGGGGAGUACGGUCGCAAGAUUAAAACUCAAAGGAAUUGACGGGGACCCCGCACAAGCGGUGGAUGAUGUGGAUUAAUUCGAUGCAACGCGAAAACCUUACCUACCCUUGACAUGGCAGGAAUCCCGGAGAGAUUUGGGAGUGCUCGAAAGGAACCUGCACACAGGUGCUGCAUGGCUGUCGU